GGGGGUAUAGGUCAGUUGGUAGAGUGCUUGCCUCGCAUGCACAAGUCCUGGGUUUAAUUCCCAGUACCACAA
rnacentral:tRNA from 1 species